rnacentral:lncRNA from 10 species
CCGACUGCCAUUCCUGGACGGGAGCCACCAACACCCGCAAAAUCGAUCGGCUUCAUGACCACACUGCUGUAGGAAGCCAUAAGUUGGAAAUCAACGGGCCUGGCUUGAAGUGUGGCCUUAGGCAACACCGUUCUCAUCUACAUCUGGAUUCUCCAACAAAGCUGGGAAAAAAACGAUCCAAGGGAAGCCAAUCAAAGAGCCUGGAUUGCCAGUCUUCCCUGCUGCGAUCUCCGCCUGCGAUUCUCCAGGGGAAAUGUCCUUUAUGACCUUACAGCUCACCUGGAACCCUCCACCUAGGGCCCGAGGCAGCACAUCCUCUCGUGCCCGGGCACUUCCAGGCAUUGCCCUGAGUACUGGGCACUUCACACACUGGGCUGGACCACUCACCGGAGUGAAUAAGGAGGCUUGAAGCUGUCCUGGUACAACAAUGGAAUGAAGCGCUAGUCUCAGCUCAGCCACUUGGAAUAUGACUCCAACUCUCACAUUUCUGUGGGGUGUAUUCAUUUCAGCUUUUUGUUUGGUGCUAUGGGGAGGGAAGGGCCCUCAGACUGGCAUCCUUUUUCUUCCAGGAUGAUGAUGAAUAUUAUGAAAGUCUGAGGCUGUUUUUAAAAUUCUGCUCUAAUACGUUGUUUUUCUGUGCAUAAGAAUUAUGUAUUCUUAGCUGCAAAACUGGAAUCCGUCUGCUCAUGGAUAAACUUCUGGCCAUGAGCAUGUACCUUUCAGGUAACUUCCCUAUCAGAGAAGCUUACAAUCAAGAAUCCUACUUCCCUAGUUCCCUACACAGGCCCAGGAGGCUUUUGGUGGUAUCCGCUGGACUUUUGAAAAUUAGGGAAUUUCUCCUACUCUGAACUCUACCAGGAAUCACAUAUCAAGAUCUCAGUACCAUCUUACCUAGACCCUCUUGACCUCUUCUUUCUCCAUAAUCUCUUUCUAGCUCAUGUCAUCCAGACUCGAGGGCCCCAUUCUCAGUUUGACACUGAGGACACCCACGCUAUUAUCUCUGGCUGUGACCUUUCCCACGAGCUCCAAAUUCACACCAUCUUUUGACGUCUCCACUUAACUUCCCCAUUUCGGUGUCUCAAACUUGACAAUUCAAAACAGAACUCCCUCCCACUUCCAAACUGGUUUCCUACCCAACUUUCCCAGGCCCCCAGUUUCUCAAGUCAGAAAUCUAUGAGUCAUCCUUGAUGUUUGCCAUUCCCUCAUCCCUCCCAUCCAACCCAUUCGUAGGCUCUUGGGAAUCUACCUCCAAAAUGUCUCUGGAAUCCAUCCUCUUCUCUCCACCUCCACUGCCAACCGCCUCUCACCUGCAAUAGCUCUGAGGCAGCCUCCCCACUUCUUCUGCCUCCCAUCCCCACCCCUACAUAUUCCUGUCCUAUCUCCACCCAGAAGCAAACAAGAUCUUCUUUAACUGUAAAUUGGUUCACAUCUCCCCUGCUUAGAACUUUCCAAGGCCUUGACAUUAUUCCAAGAUCAAGACCAAACUCUUGACUGUGGCCAGUGAGACCUUUCCUGAACUGGUCCUACCUACCUCUGCAAACCCAUCUAGUGACACCUUUCCCUUAGCUUGCCUCCAACAUAGUGUAUUAGUUUCCUAUGGCUGCUGCAGGAAAUGACACAAAUUAUCCCCUUAUAGUCGUGGAAGCCAGAAGUCCAAAAUGGGCUGGAGCCAAGGCAGGCAGGGCUAUGCUGCUUGCAGAGGUUCUAGGGGAGAAUCUAUUUCUUGGUCUUCUUUGGCUUCUAGAGCUGCAAUCCUUGGCUCAUGGCGCCUUCCUCCACCUUCAGAGCCAGCAGUGUAGCAUCUUACUUGGUGAUCACAUUUCUUUCUUCUCCAGUGUCAUAUUUCCCUUUGCUUUACAUUGUCCUUUAAAUUUCUCUUAUAAGGAAACUGCGAUUGCAUUUAAGACCCACCCAGGUAAUCCAAGAUGAUCUUCCCAUCUCAAGACCCUUAACUGAAUCCCACCUCCAAAGUCCCUUUUGCCAGGUAAGGCAACAUUCCCAGGUCCCGGGGAUUAGGAUCUACAUAUGUUCGGGAGUGACUAUUGAGCCUACCAUGCAUACCACGCUCCUUCCCUCACCAGGGUCUUUGUACCUCUUGUCCCCCAUUACUAGAAUGCUCCCUUCUUCCCUCUCACUCUUUGCUUGGCCAUAUCUUUCUCAUUCUUGGGGACACAGCUUACCUGGCACCUCCUCAGACAACCUGUCUCGGACCAGCCCCUUAACAGCCUGAAGACUUUUUUUUUUUUUUUUUUGAUACGGAGUCUUGCUCUGUUGCCCAGGCUAGAGUGCAGUAGUGUGAUCUCAGCUCACUGCAACCUCUGCCUCCCGGGUUCAAGCAGUUCUCCUGCUUCAACCUCCCAAGUAGCUGGGAUUACAGGCACCUGCUACCAUGCCCGGCUAAUUUUUGUAUUUUUAGUAGAGACAGGGUUUCACCAUGUUGGCCAGGCUGGUCUCGAACUCCCGACCGCAAGUGAUCUGCCCACCUUGGCCUCCCAAAGUGCUGAGAUUACAGGCAUGAGCCACAGUGCCUGGAUGAAGACUUUUUCAUGUCUUUUUCAACUGACUUGUUUUCUGCCUGCCUCUCCCUCCACCCUCACCUAAGCACCUUGAGGACCAUGUCUGUUUUGUCAAUCCACUGGUCAUCCUAAUAUAACUGGUUAAUAAAUCAUUGCUGAAUUUAUUUAUUUAUUUAUUUAUGACAGUCUCGCUGUGUCGCCCAGGCUGGAGUGCAGUGGCAUGAUCUCAGCUCACUGCAACCUCCUCCUCCAAGAUUCAAGCGAUUCUCCUGCCUCUGCUUCCCAAGUAGCUGGGAUUACAGGCGUGCGCUGCCACACCCAGCUAACUUUUUUUUUUCUUCUUCUAUUUUUAGAGACAGGGUUUUGCCAUGUUGGCCAGGCUGGUCUUGAACUUCUGACCUCAAGUGAUCCAGCUGCCUCAGCCUCCCAAAGUGCUGAGAUUACAGGCAUGAGCCACCAUGCCUGGCCUCAUUGCUGAAUGAAUUUAAAGAUGACAAACUGACAACCCAAUACAGUGCUAUGCAAAUGGGCUGCUGUGUGUACUCCUCAGCGAAAGGAGACUCAACACCACCUUCCUCCUGAUCUGCUGUAUCAGAAACAAUGGUCUGGGCAGAACAGGGCACCAAUCACAAAGAAAACCCAUAGACACACUCCCAUGCAGGGUCCAGGGAGAUGCCACACCACCGAGUCAGCCAGACGCAAAACCUUUCAAGGAAGUAGGAUUUUACCUUGCUGGGUGACCACCUGAUCCCUUGCUUAUUAAACGCAGCUAAGCACUAUUUUAACACAAGGCCUGCAUGAGAGGCUGCUCGCUGUGGAGAGCCAGCCAUAAGUAAACCUUCUCCAUCCUUCUGUUAAAGACUCCUGGAGCCACUUUGAGGGAAUCGAGGGGGGCCAAGGGGCCUUUUCACAUGUGUUGCAGCCUUUUAGGCUGGGUACGGGGAGGCUCCUGCACAGCUGAAAACUUCAC